rnacentral:misc_RNA from 1 species
GAUGAAGAACGUAGUGAAAUGCGAUACGUAAUGUGAAUUGCAGAAUUCAGUGAAUCAUCGAGUCUUUGAACGCACAUUGCGCCCCCUGGUAUUCCGGGGGGCAUGCCUGUCCGAGCGUCAUUGCUGCCCUCAAGCACGGCUUGUGUGUUGGGCCUCCGUCCUCCUCCCGGGGGACGGGCCCGAAAGGCAGCGGCGGCACCGCGUCCGGUCCUCGAGCGUAUGGGGCUUCGUCACCCGCUCUUGUAGGCCCGGCCGGCGCUUGCCGACACAUCAAUCUUUUUUCCAGGUUGACCUCGGAUCUGGUAGGGAUACCCGCUGAACUUAAGCAUAUCAAUAAGCGGAGGA